rnacentral:rRNA from 1 species
GAUGAACGCUGGCGGCGUGCCUAAUACAUGCAAGUCGAGCGGACAAGCAGGGAUUGUUCUCUGGUUCCGUUAGCAACGGACGGGUAAGUAGCACGUGAAUAGCCUCUCUAUCUGACUUAGAUGACUUCGAGAAAGCGGAGCUCAUACCGUGUAAUAUAUCGGACCGGUUGGUUCAAGGGAGGAUUUUGCGUUUUGGGUUAGGUACACGUGCAUCCGCGCCGUAUUAGCUGGUUGGUAAGGUAACGGCGUACCAAGGCAACGGUGCGUAGCCGAUCUGAGAGGGUGAUCGGCCACACGGGAACUGAGCCACGGUCCAGACUCCUAAGGGAGGCAGCAGUCGGGAAUCUUCCGCAAUGGGCGAAAGCAUGACGGAGCAACGCCGCGUGAGUGAUGAAGGUCUCCGGAUCGUAAAACUCUGUUAUUAGGGAAGAACAAAUGUGUAAGUAAAUAUGCCCGUCGUGACGGUACCUACACAGAAAGCCACGGCUAACUACGUG